rnacentral:misc_RNA from 1 species
AAGUCGUAACAAGGUUUCCGUAGGUGAACCUGCGGAAGGAUCAUUAUUGAAUAAACUUGGUUGGGUUGAUGCUGGCUCCUCGGAGCAUGUGCACGCUCAUUCCACUUUUAACCACCUGUGCACCUUGUGGUGUAGAUCUGAACAACUCUCGGGGUAACUCGGUUAGAGGAUUGCUGUGUGUAAAAGCCAGCUUUCCUUGCGUUCAGAUCUAUGUCUUUAUAUACCCCAUAGAAUGUAACGGAAUGUAAUUGAUAGGCGUUACUGCCUUUAAAAUCAAAUACAACUUUCAACAACGGAUCUCUUGGCUCUC